rnacentral:sRNA from 1 species
AGGAAACCCCCUGGGUUGACAAUCUUAUCCAGCCGCUGAGCAGGCACAGCCCAGGCAAUGGCAGCACAAGCUUUCUACAUAGUGGCCACUGAUGUGCUUCAGCUCUGAUCUGGAGACCAGCUCUAGGGAUGAGAAGGGAGUUGUCUCCAUGGCUAGUUCAAUCCCUGGCCUUC